rnacentral:rRNA from 1 species
AACGAACGCUGGCGGCAUGCCUAACACAUGCAAGUCGAACGAGACCUUCGGGUCUAGUGGCGCACGGGUGCGUAACGCGUGGGAACCUGCCCUUAGGUUCGGAAUAACUCCCCGAAGGGGGUGCUAAUACCGGAUAAUGUCAUCGGACCAAAGAUUUAUCGCCUUUGGAUGGGCCCGCGUUGGAUUAGCUAGUUGGUAGGGUAAAAGCCUACCAAGGCGACGAUCCAUAGCUGGUCUGAGAGGAUGAUCAGCCACACUGGGACUGAGACACGGCCCAGACUCCUACGGGAGGCAGCAGUGGGGAAUAUUGGACAAUGGGCGAAAGCCUGAUCCAGCAAUGCCGCGUGAGUGAUGAAGGCCUUAGGGUUGUAAAGCUCUUUUACCCGGGAUGAUAAUGACAGUACCGGGAGAAUAAGCUCCGGCUAACUCCGUG